rnacentral:rRNA from 1 species
CUUUGGUGGCGACCGGCGCACGGGUGCGCAACGCGUAUGCAACCUACCUUUAACAGGGGCAUAACACUGAGAAAUUGGUACUAAUUCCCCAUAACAUUCGAGAAGGCAUCUUCUUGGGUUAAAAACUCCGGUGGUUAAAGAUGGGCAUGCGUUGUAUUAGCUAGCUGGUGAGGUAACGGCUCACCAAGGCAACGAUACAUAGGGGGACUGAGAGGUUAACCCCCCACAUUGGUACUGAGACACGGACCAA